rnacentral:rRNA from 1 species
GACGAACGCUGGCGGCAUGCCUAACACAUGCAAGUCGAACGAGCCCUUCGGGUCUAGGGGCUCACGUGUUCGUCACGCGUGGGAACCUGCCCUUAGGUUCGGAAUAACUCCCCGACGGGGGUGCUAAUACCGGAUAAUUUCUUCGGACCAAAGAUUUAUCGCCUUUGGAUGGGCCCGCGUUGGAUUAGCUAGUUGGUAGGGUAACAGCCUACCACGGCGACGCUCCAUAGCUGGUCUGAGAGGAUGGUCCGCCACACUGGGACUGCGACACGGCCCGGAAUCCUACGGGAUGCAGCAGUGGGGGACGGUGGACAACGGGCGGAAGGCUGAUGCAGCAAUGCCGCGUGAGUGAUGAAGGCCGUAGGGUUGUAGAGCUCUUUUACCCGGGAUGAUAGUGACAGUACCUGGAGAAUAAGCUACGGCUAACUCCGUG